GGUGCUUGCACCCCGCUGACGAGCGGCGGACGGGUGAGUAAUGCAUAGGAAACUGCCCAGUAGUGGGGGAUAGCCCGGGGAAACCCGGAUUAAUACCGCGUACGCCCUUCGGGGGAAAGCAGGGGAUCUUCGGACCUUGCGCUAUUGGAUGUGCCUAUGUCGGAUUAGCUAGUUGGUGGGGUAAAGGCCUACCAAGGCGACGAUCCGUAGCUGGUCUGAGAGGAUGAUCAGCCACAUCGGGACUGAGACACGGCCCGAACUCCUACGGGAGGCAGCAGUGGGGAAUAUUGGACAAUGGGGGCAACCCUGAUCCAGCCAUGCCGCGUGUGUGAAGAAGGCUUUCGGGUUGUAAAGCACUUUCAGUGAGGAGGAAAAGUUGGUCGUUAAUACCGGCCAGCCUUGACGUUACUCACAGAAGAAGCACCGGCUAACUCCGUGCCAGCAGCCGCGGUAAUACGGAGGGUGCAAGCGUUAAUCGGAAUUACUGGGCGUAAAGCGCGCGUAGGUGGUUUGAUAAGCGAGAUGUGAAA
rnacentral:rRNA from 1 species